AGCGGAGUGGGGGAGCUCGGAACCCCGCCGGCCUCAUAAGCCGGAGAUCGCAGGUUCGAAUCCUGCCUCCGCCA
rnacentral:tRNA from 1 species